UGCAGGUACCCGUGCGAAUAAGGACCGGCUAAUUCCGUGCCAGCAGCCGCGGUAAUACGGAAGGUCCGAGCGUUAUCCGGAUUUAUUGGGUUUAAAGGGAGCGCAGGCGGAGAUGCAAGCCAGCCGUAAAAUCGUUGAGCUCAACUCAAUCUCGCGGUUGGAACUGCAUCCCUUGAGUGCACCAGAGGGCGGUGGAAUUCGUGGUGUAGCGGUGAAAUGCAUAGAUAUCACGAAGAACUCCGAUUGCGAAGGCAGUCGCCUGGGGUGUUACUGACGCUCAUGCUCGAAGGUGCGGGUAUCAAACAGGAUUAGAUACCCUG
rnacentral:rRNA from 1 species